rnacentral:pre_miRNA from 1 species
AUUCUAGUCCCUCCGUUGCACAAUACAUGCCUUCUAUUUGUCAAAAUAUAUAUGUAUCUAGACAUGUUUUAGUAUAUAGGUACAUCCAUUUUUGGACAAAUGGAAGUCAAGUAUUUUUGAAUGGAGGGAGUACACA